rnacentral:rRNA from 1 species
GAUGAACGCUGGCGGCGUGCCUAAUACAUGCAAGUCGAGCGAACAGGUGAGGAGCUUGCUCCUUUGACGUUAGCGGCGGACGGGUGAGUAACACGUGGGUAACCUACCUAUAAGACUGGGAUAACUUCGGGAAACCGGAGCUAAUACCGGAUAAUAUUUUGAACCGCAUGGUUCGAUAGUGAAAGAUGGUUUUGCUAUCACUUAUAGAUGGACCCGCGCCGUAUUAGCUAGUUGGUAAGGUAACGGCUUACCAAGGCGACGAUACGUAGCCGACCUGAGAGGGUGAUCGGCCACACUGGAACUGAGACACGGUCCAGACUCCUACGGGAGGCAGCAGUAGGGAAUCUUCCGCAAUGGGCGAAAGCCUGACGGAGCAACGCCGCGUGAGUGAUGAAGGUCUUCGGAUCGUAAAACUCUGUUAUUAGGGAAGAACAUACGUGUAAGUAACUGUGCACGUCUUGACGGUACCUAAUCAGAAAGCCACGGCUAACUACGUG